UGGGACCUUGUUUUCCAUUUUGAAAACUGUUAUCAGUAAGUAUAGUAUUCAACACAAACUAAAUAAUCAAUAAUACAUACAUAAAUACAUACAUAAACAACAAUGGAAGCCAAUGGUUACCAG